rnacentral:rRNA from 1 species
UCCUACGGGAGGCAGCAGUGAGGAAUAUUGGUCAAUGGACGCAAGUCUGAACCAGCCAUGCCGCGUGCAGGAUGACGGCUCUAUGAGUUGUAAACUGCUUUUGUACGAGGGUAAACGCAGAUACGUGUAUCUGUCUGAAAGUAUCGUACGAAUAAGGAUCGGCUAACUCCGUGCCAGCAGCCGCGGUAAUACGGAGGAUCCAAGCGUUAUCCGGAUUUAUUGGGUUUAAAGGGUGCGUAGGCGGUUUGAUAAGUUAGAGGUGAAAUUUCGGGGCUCAACCCUGAACGUGCCUCUAAUACUGUUGAGCUAGAGAGUAGUUGCGGUAGGCGGAAUGUAUGGUGUAGCGGUGAAAUGCUUAGAGAUCAUACAGAACACCGAUUGCGAAGGCAGCUUACCAAACUAUAUCUGACGUUGAGGCACGAAAGCGUGGGGAGCAAACAGGAUUAGAUACCCUGGUAGUCCACGCAGUAAACGAUGAUAACUCGUUGUCGGCGAUACACAGUCGGUGACUAAGCGAAAGCGAUAAGUUAUCCACCUGGGGAGUACGUUCGCAAGAAUGAAACUCAAAGGAAUUGACGGGGGCCCGCACAAGCGGAGGAACAUGUGGUUUAAUUCGAUGAUACGCGAGGAACCUUACCCGGGCUUGAAAGUUAGCGACGAUUCUUGAAAGAGGAUUUCCCUUCGGGGCGCGAAACUAGGUGCUGCAUGGUUGUCGUCAGCUCGUGCCGUGAGGUGUCGGGUUAAGUCCCAUAACGAGCGCAACCCCUACCGUUAGUUGCCAUCAGGUCAAGCUGGGCACUCUGGCGGGACUGCCGGUGUAAGCCGAGAGGAAGGUGGGGAUGACGUCAAAUCAGCACGGCCCUUACGUCCG